rnacentral:lncRNA from 1 species
CUAUAUACUACUAAAAAUUUUAUUCCAUCGAAAUUUAGAUCGUCCAUUGUAUACCAUUCAAACUUUAACUCCAUUCCUUACAUGCCAUUACCGUCACUGCGUAGUUACAAGUCAUGAGAUAUUACCAUGCUAGCCCCCGGCAUUUCUCAUUAGGCCACACAUACAGGUUUCUUUCUUUUUCUCUCUCACUUACCGUGGGCCCCCACCUUUCUUCCACCUCUCGGCUCCCUCUGUUCUCACUUUCUCACAUUUGCCUCGCUCUCUUCUCUUCCCUGCAAUACAUCCAAGAUUCAGGGCAGGGCCGGGAGGGCCGACAGCUACAGCCAGUGCCAGCAGCAGCUUGGC